CGCCACGCCCGCUCAAGAAACUACAAUGAAUUGACGGGGCCCGCACAAGCGGUGGAGUAUGUGGUUUAAUUCGAUGCAACGCGAAGAACCUUACCUGGUCUUGACAUCCCGGAGACCCUUAGGAAACUAGGGGGUGCUUCCAUCUGGAAGAAUCUGGAGACAGGUGCUGCAUGGCUGUCGUCAGCUCGUGUCGUGAGAUGUUGGGUUAAGUCCCGCAACGAGCGCAACCCUUGCCUUUAGUUGCCAGCAGUUCGGCUGGGCACUCUAAAGGGACUGCCGGUGUUAAACCGGAGGAAGGUGGGGAUGACGUCAAGUCCUCAUGGCCUUUAUGACCAGGGCUACACACGUACUACAAUGGCCGAUACAAAGGGCAGCGACACUGCGAGGUGAAGCCAAUCCCGUAAAAUCGGUCUCAGUCCGGAUUGGAGUCUGCAACUCGACUCCAUGAAGUUGGAAUCGCUAGUAAUCGUGGAUCAGCAUGCCACGGUGAAUACGUUCCCGGGCCUU
rnacentral:rRNA from 1 species